CCUACGGGGGGCAGCAGUGGGGAAUAUUGCACAAUGGGCGCAAGCCUGAUGCAGCCAUGCCGCGUGUGUGAAGAUGGCCUUCGGGUUGUAAAGCACUUUCAGCGGGGAGGAAGGCGUUAAGGUUAAUAACCUUGUCGAUUGACGUUACCCGCAGAAGAAGCACCGGCUAACUCCGUGCCAGCAGCCGCGGUAAUACGGAGGGUGCAAGCGUUAAUCGGAAUUACUGGGCGUAAAGCGCACGCAGGCGGUCUGUCAAGUCGGAUGUGAAAUCCCCGGGCUCAACCGGGGAACUGCAUUCGAAACUGGCAGGCUAGAGUCUUGUAGAGGGGGGUAGAAUUCCAGGUGUAGCGGUGAAAUGCGUAGAGAUCUGGAGGAAUACCGGUGGCGAAGGCGGCCCCCUGGACAAAGACUGACGCUCAGGUGCGAAAGCGUGGGGAGCAAACAGGAUUAGAUACCCGUGUAGUC
rnacentral:rRNA from 1 species